GAUGAACGCUGGCGGCGUGCUUAACACAUGCAAGUCGAACGGAAAGGCCGAAGCUUGCUUCGGUACUCGAUUGGCGAACGGGUGAGUAACACGUGUGUUAUCUGCCCUGUACUUCCGGAUAAGCUUUGGAAACUGAGUCUAAUACCGCAUAUGACGAUCUCUUGGAUGGGGUUGUGGAAAGCUUUUGCGGUAUGGGAUGAGAUCGCGGCCUAUCAGCUUGUUGGUGGGGUAAUGGCCUACCAAGGCGUCGACGUGUAUCCGUCCUGAUAGAGCGUACGGCCGCUUUUGAACCGAGAUACGGCCCAUAGUGCUACGCGAGGCAGAAGCGGGGAAUAUUGCAUGGCGUCCAUAAGCCUGAGGCAGCGAGGACGCGGGGUGGAUGAGGGCUUUUGGCUUGUAAAAUCCAGUGCCUAUAGACGAAUCAUUGUGGUGACGGUAGUUACAGAAAAAGCACCGGCUAACUACGUG
rnacentral:rRNA from 1 species